GGUGUCCUUUUUGGCCUUCAUCCAUGGAGUCCUUCUUGGUACAGUGUGCAGCAUAUGGUACAGGCUGAAACCAACACUCCAGAUUGCUCGAGGUCAACCUAAAGCUCUUAAAAUGUUUUUUCCACAAUCAGCACCGACCUUCACAGAUUUCUUGAGUUUCUUCUAACUGCCACAUCCUGGAGGCGUCUGAACAGUUUUGACUGUGAAACUUCUUGAUAACAUUACAAACUAUUUUUUUAAUAACAGCAUAUCUAAUACUUUAGUCUUUGGCACUGUGAAAAAGUUUUUAAAAAAUCAGCCUUUUUAUGCAGUAAAACCAUCAUUCAUUGGUUCAUUUAGGUAAAUUUUAUUUUGUUUGAAGAACUAAUUUUAAUACAUCAAAAGGGCUACAAUUGUGUCCAGGGUACAUUUUGUGUUUCACUUUCUUUCACUGGCCUAUUAUGCAAGUUGUUGUCUUUUUUUUUUUCUUUUAUUCAAUAACCUUGGACAUUUCAGUUUAUUUCCAUUUAUUUUUUCAUAUUCUGAAAUAUACUUGAAAUUCAGGGGCAAUUUUUUGACCAGGACUGUAGCUAUUGUAAUACAGACACAGAAUGACUGACUUACACCACAAUUAAAAUGUCCUGUAAAGUCACACAGAAUCAAAAUAUCUAAAGAACACAUACGAUGUUAAUCUAGAUUUACUUAAAAUUACUUCAGACGUGUUUUUGCUUAUGGGCUGCGCUUAUGGCUGACUGGUGUGGAGAAAUUGAGAAAUCCUACUGGCCGAGAACUCAACAAUCACACACGCGAGGGUUCACCUGUGCACUUAAAGCGACCGUUGUAGCUCAGUAAACCUCAAUUUAGCUAACACUAUCAUCGACAACAUGAAUGGUCCGUUAGCAUGAGCAUGUGAGCUUGUACCAACUCAAAACUUACACGAACAUUGUUUAACAAGUAUUAUCACCAAAAUAUUCAGUGGGCAUUGUUAGCCAACUGUUGCAAAAACGAUGCAGGCUAGCUAAAAAACACGUUAGCUUAAAACCAAAGUAGCUACAAGCUAAAACAGUUAAAAUGUUAGUCGAAUAUAGACACAAACCAACAAUGGAUAUUUCCGGCUUUUCUGUAUUGUGAAGAUAUUCUUUUGGAGAGGAGCGCUGUAAUUGAGGUGAUGUCCAACUUGACUUCUACCAUGAAAAAUCCGUUUCCCACACCAGAGAUGUGUAAAUUGACGACUCAGCCCGAGGCCUGCAGCCACUCAUUAACGUCAUUAUGCAUAUGGAGGACCUGCUUUGCUAAGAUGCCGGACACUGCUGUUUCUCCAUCUCCCUUGCCUCAGCCCCCAACCCAGGCUCUAGCUACUGUGCUGAUCCUUGUGUGGCUUUCUCAAGAGGCACUAGCUAACCACCUACACAGUCAACGGAUGACCCUACUCCAAAUGAAACAUAUGGAGUUGCAACCCUCGAGCAGUGAAACAUAAAUAAAAAGCCCCUGUUGUAGUAAAUUUCCAAUGCAACAGCUUGAUUGUGUUACAGAAAAUGUAUUAAUUAUAUGAGGCCAAUGGGGAAGUGCAGUUCCACUAAUCAUUUUAAUAAUUCUAACAUCAUUUCAGUCAUUGCACUGUGUGACUGUGAGAAGCAUGAGAUAACAUAACAGUUUCUAUGGUGGUCUUGCAAACACCUAAAAAAAAAAAAACAAGUUAAAAUGACUACUGUUUUUAUUCUGUAUCCUAUAGUUAGUCUUUGAUAUAAAGUGUAAGGGGGCUCAGGCUUUAGUAAUAGCCCACCAGUUUUACAAAUAGCAAUACACAGCAAUAUGCAUUUUGUGAUCUUUGUGAAUUCAUUAUACACUGCCCUUGAAUUUACUCUUCAUGGACCAUUGUGUUUGAGUAAUUUAAAAUAAAUGCGAGGAGGAGAUAAUAAAAAUUCUCCCAACAUUCUCAU